UGGGGAAUAUUGCACAAUGGGCGAAAGCCUGAUGCAGCAACGCCGCGUGAGUGAUGAAGGCUUUCGGGUCGUAAAACUCUGUCCUCAAGGAAGAUAAUGACGGUACUUGAGGAGGAAGCCCCGGCUAACUACGUGCCAGCAGCCGCGGUAAUACGUAGGGGGCUAGCGUUAUCCGGAUUUACUGGGCGUAAAGGGUGCGUAGGUGGUUUCUUAAGUCAGGAGUGAAAGGCUACGGCUCAACCGUAGUAAGCUCUUGAAACUGGGAAACUUGAGUGCAGGAGAGGAAAGUGGAAUUCCUAGUGUAGCGGUGAAAUGCGUAGAUAUUAGGAGGAACACCAGUAGCGAAGGCGGCUUUCUGGACUGUAACUGACACUGAGGCACGAAAGCGUGGGGAGCAAACA
rnacentral:rRNA from 1 species